rnacentral:lncRNA from 1 species
GAGAAAUAGCGAUAAUUUACCGUGUAUAUUAUCGACUUAUGGGUACUACCUUAGCUCCUAAAGCUAGGUUCACCAGCCCUAAAGGGGUUACCACUCUUAUGGAAGCUAACAAAGAUCGUAGCACCGUCUUUGUUCCAAAGGCUCUAGUCUGGGAGGAUAUCCUCCAGCAAAAUGACUGGCACUUCGAGGCCAUUACCCG